rnacentral:rRNA from 1 species
UACCAGCUCUCCGAGUAGUGUGGAUGUUUAUUGGGCCUAAAGCAUCCGUAGCUUGCUAAGCAAGUCCCCUGUUAAAUCCACCGAUUCAAUCGGUGGAUUGCGGGGGAUACUGUUUGGCUAGGGGACGGGAGAGGCCGACGGUAUUUCCGGGGUAGGGGUGAAAUCCUAUAAUCCCGGGAAGACCACCAGUGGCGAAGGCUGUCGGCUAGAACGCGCCCGACGGUGAGGGAUGAAAGCUGGGGGGAGCGAACCGGAUUAGAUACCCGGGUAGUCCCAGCUGUAAACGAUGCAGGCUAGGUGUUUGGGCGGUCACGAGCCGCUCUAGUGCCGCAGGGAAGCUGUUAAGCCUGCCGCCUGGGGAGUACGGCCGCAAGGCUGAAACUUAAGGAAUUGGCGGGGAGCACCACAAGGGGUGAAGCUUGCGGUUU